AACUUCGUAUUUUGGACGAAGUUUGAGCUCCAUCUUAACACUCGUUUUAUAAUAAAUACCUCAGCCAAAGGCAAUGAAGAUUCUCUUUUCUGUCGUAACCUCCGAGGAAAUCGUAGUGCGCGUCGUGUAUUAAUUGUUAAAAAUUGUCACAAAAUUGUGUGUUUUAAAAGCUUUGUACCUUAUUCUAAGUGGAAAUUGUGUCCUUAAUACUAAUAGUACGGUGAAAAUAGUACGGCAAAACAAACUACAAAACUAUAGUACGCCUAUUAUACAUUUAUGCCGUCUAAAAACUAAGAAAACACUACUGUGAAAGUUAUGUGCAAGAAAAUGGUCCACGAAUGGGCCUUUUUCUUUUACUUACAAGCUACAUCCACGACAGGCUCUUGGUGGCAAUCCAAGAGGCCUAAUCCUCACGCACGCUGAUUUCAAGGUUAUGUUACCUAGCUCGAGGACCUCAUUCCGAGCGAAACUGCCAUCCGGCAUCUCCCACAAACGCCGGCAGAAGCACAGCGACAGAAUACCUAUUGUCUGAAGACGUGUAUUGUUCAGACCGCUUCCCAAGCCAUAUCCGCCAUCUUGAAUCGGCCAUUCCGCCGAUGUAGCAAGCUGUCCCACAUGCCGACCCUUCCCAUCGCCGACAGCUUACGGCCAUCAUCAAUCUCAACCGAAAGCGGCCUGUCGCCGCUUGUUCCACAUCAUCAAGCUCGUCAAGAUGUCGACGUGGCCCGUCUCCGCCAGUGCCGCAGCAUUAAGCAGUGGCCACUUGCUGUUCAACGGAAUCACCGAGGAUCCGGAUCCCGAGCAUGACGAUGCUCCAACCACGCAAGUACCCCUAUCAAGUGUGACAGUGCUAGCAUAGUGUAGGACCAGAAAAGUACAUUAAAAUUAGCCAUAAGUUAAAUUGAAA